rnacentral:rRNA from 1 species
UACGUAGGAGGCGAGCGUUGUCCGGAUUUACUGGGCGUAAAGGGAGCGUAGGCGGAUUUUUAAGUGAGAUGUGAAAUACUCGGGCUCAACUUGAGUGCUGCAUUUCAAACUGGAAGUCUAGAGUGCAGGAGAGGAGAAUGGAAUUCCUAGUGUAGCGGUGAAAUGCGUAGAGAUUAGGAAGAACACCAGUGGCGAAGGCGAUUCUCUGGACUGUAACUGACGCUGAGGCUCGAAAGCGUGGGGAGCAAACAGG